CCGCGCUGCCCCGCCGCCGCCGCCCGCACCACCCGCGCCUCGGCGGCUGCCGCUGCUCGCACUCACGGUCUGGGGCGCGCGGGAGGCGCUGGGCAGCUCCAGCCGCGGACAGCCGGAGGGGCGCGGCGGCUGGGGCGGCCCGGAGGAAGGGGGCCGGCGCCCGGCUCAGCUGCCGCUGCGGGGCAUGGCUGGGGCGCCCCGCGUGCCCUCAAGCCCGGAGAGGACUCAGAGCAGCCCAGCGGCUGCGGGCAGCGGCGGCGGCCCGGGUGGCUGCGGCGGCUCCCACUCCGCCUCCUCCUCUGGCCCCGGCUCUGCAGCUGCGGCGGCCGCCCUCUCGCCUCCUCCUCCUCUUACCCCUCCUUCCCUCCGCCUCUAGAGUGUGAGGAGGAGCCGCGGGUCUGAGAAACGCCAUAGCAGCGCUCCCAGCACUGACUAAUCAACAAGGUGCGAGCAACGCCUGCGCAGCUCCGGGAGACACCGCCUCCGCCUCCCCGGCGCCGCCCGCUCCGCCCUCCGCUCGGCCCCCGCCUCUCGCGGCUCCCGCGGCCGGGCGGGCUCCGCGCGGCGUCAGCUUCCCGGCCAGGGCCGCCGGCGACGGCGGCUCGGCGCUCUCCUCAAGCUUUAGCUCUCGCUCCCCCGUCCGACCGCUCGGGGGCCUUGCAGUCUCACCGGGUGCCGCUGCGCCCCGACUCCUUCCCAGUCCAGGCCCGUUCCCGGAACCCGGGAAUUGCGGAGCUACCGCAGGGACCGCUCUCUGAGUCGUGGUGUCGGGCACCGUCCGCCUCCAUUCCCACCCUGGCCAUGGAGUGGCUAAAUACAGGGCACAAAAGAGACCUUUAGUGGCGCUCCCUCUCACUUCCCGGUGGCCCAGACUUUGGUCAGGAGAGUGCCACAGCCCAAUGGGGCUGGGGACGGCAGGCGCGGAGCCCGCCUUGGCGUUUCCCUCAACCCUACUCCACUACCGUCGAAGCUGGAAAUGGCUCCCACCAGCCUCAGCUUUGGCUGCUAGGCAAGAUAAAAAGAACAAAGCAUCGAAAAGCAGAAAGGUGGUGAGUGGUCAGUACCCACACCCAGGAAUGUGGCCAUUCGGUCUAGAACCUUCACUGAGUGAGCUGCUGGAAGCGGCGAGAGAUGAGGCCACCGAACACCACAGACGCGGAGAGGGGAAGGGAGAACUAGGUUAUUGGGAGGCUGCUGGGGUCCACUCUUUUCACCUGCUUUUCCCACUCAAUUAUCUUCUCAUCUUAAACGUUGGGAUCAUUCACGUUUUCUCGUGAACCAGCCUGCUACCCAGCAGACCCAGACAGUGUUCAUGACGACUCUAUAUGCUAUUGAUAACCCGAAGGUGAAUCAGGUAGAUGAUACUACAGGACUCAAGUGACCGACACUUGCCAGCUUCCUAACUGUGAGUCUAUUGUUUAUAUGCACAUAACUUGUUAAUUCUCUGAAUUAUCAGCUUGGCAAGAUAAAAAUAUUACAUGUUGGCUUUCUUCAUAUCAGUGUCCUGGCUCACAUAAUAUUCUAGUGGUCAAGUGUGAUAUUAAAGUUCACAGCCCUAGUGAAUUUUUAGGUCUCCACAUUUUUUUCCCUUUCACUUAAUUGCCAUGUGAUCCCCAGAUCUAACUUGAACGAUACUCCCUGGCUAAUACCUUUUGCCAUAUCUAUAUCCUCAUUGUAUAGGAAAUUAAGUGUAAAGCCCUUUGCAUGGCACAAAAGGUUCUUCUCUGAUGUGGCUGGGUCUGCCUUCCUAGCUUCACUCCUGUUAUCUACCUUUUAAUGCCCUAUGAUGUGGGGUAACACCUUCUCACAGUUGCCCAGAUGUGUCAUGCUAAUGCAUACCCUUGUAGAGUUUGUUCUCUCAGCUUAGAAUGUCUUUCUCCUUUUCUGUUACUGUGAAACCCUCAUUCCACCUCCACCUUCCUGUAUUCCAUGAACUGUUGUGUUUCCUCCUCCAAGGAGAUCCUUUUUUUCUGUGUUACCAUUGCACCUGCAAUACCAUCUUUUGACUGUACUAAUUGUGCUAUGAUUAAUUAUCUUCCUAUGUUAGCUUUGCCUACUAGACAACAAUUGACUGUAGACACAAAAAGUGUAUUUUUUCACCUCUGUUUUGCAAGCUCCUAUUACCAUGCCUGGCACACAGCAAGUCCUCAAUUAAUGUUUGUUGAGUUGAAUAAUCAAUGCACCAAGUCAUCUUCUCACUCUAUAUUAUUUUGUAGGUCACUGCAACUCCUUUUUCCCCCAAGCCAAAUGGUAUACACCUUUUAAAUUUUAUUUAUUUUAUUUUUAAUUUAUUUUUUGAAGCAGGAUCUCACUCUGUUGCCUAGGCUGGAUGCAGUGGCACUAUCAUGGCUCACUGCAGCCUUCAACUCCUGGGCUCAAGUGAUUCUCUUGCCUCAGCCUCCCAAGUAGCUAGGACUACACUCAUGUGCCACCAUGCCUGGCUAAUAUUUUUUAUUUUUGUAGAGAUGAGGUCUUGCUACAUUGCCCAGGCUGGUCUUAAAUUCCUUGGCUUAAGCAAUCUAUCCACCUAGGCCUCCCAAAGUGCUGGGAGCCACCACCCCUGGCCUUGUAUCCAGCUUUAUUAAGAUACUUUUCAUAAACAAUUAUGGUAUUUCAGGCAGGACAUGGACAGUUAUUAAGAGUAUACAACAGCUUUCAAAUUCUCUCCUUCAACAGACUACUCAAAUCAGAAAGCCACUCUAAAACCCAGAUGAAGUCUUCAUUUGAUUCCCUGAGCAGGGAAAGUUUAGAUGAAGGGUUGACAUUUCACAUUUAGCAUGUUCAGCAACUUUUCAUGAGUGAACCCUGACUUUCAGGAAAUGAAAAGAAAUGGUGGAAUAUAUCUGAUGAGCCACAAUCUAGAACUGGAACUGCUGCUUUCUUGAGGGAUGUCAUCUCAGUGGUAUCACUGGAAAGUCCAGAUUGCCUGGCACACUGGUAACUGAUUUUGGGAGGGUCCAGUGCCAACAGGUGUCUGGGUUUAAGGGAGUUAAGUCUGUGCUGAAGGCAGAGAGCGAGACGAGGACAUAAAAAUGCAUUUUAGUUUUUCCAUGCCACCAGGCAUUUGUGCCAAGGUGGCUAUGUGUGUCAACCUCAAGGUAUCCUUCCUUCUGGAAGUCAAGAGGAAGUCUCAAAACUAGAAGGGAAAGAUGUUUUCCCACAUCAAUCCAGCUUCAGGAACAUUCUAUUAGUAAUAUAUGCCCCUUCCUCAGAAAACCACAAUGAAGUGUUUGGUGUUCUGACAACAUAGCCUAAAAAAAAAGGAAAACAAAAUUCUGCACUUUUAUAUAAUUUGGUAAAAAUCCUAUUUCACCCUGCCCUCACCAGAGUACACAGUUAUCGAAAAUGUGCAUAGUUCACUUGGUUUCUGCAGUGCCUCAGCUUCCUGUGCCUGGUCUGUUUAGGCAUCUUCAUUUUCUGCAGGGUUAUUCCCAUUCUUGCUAGCAUCAAGCAUGCUUUUUUCCUUUGGGUACCUUCUCUUACUUCUUUGCAAGGGCUUUUUUAGGUUUGGGCUCUGGCUUAGGAGAAACAGAUUUAGCAGACAACCUUCAAGUAUCCUGUGGUUCAUCCUUCAUCUAGACUUUAUCUUUUUUUUUUUUUUUUUUUAAGAUGGAGUUUCACUUUUGUUGCCCAAGCUGGAGUGUAAUGGCAUGAUCUCGGCUCACCACAACCUCAGCCUCCCAGGUUCAAGCGAUUCUCCUGCCUUAGCCUUCUGAGUAGCUGGGAUUACAGGCAUAUGCCACCACACCUGACUAAUUUUUUGUAUUUUUAGUAGAAACGGGGUUUCUCCAUGUUGGUCAGGCUGGUCUCAAACUCCUGACCUCAGGUGAUCUGCCCGCCUCAGCCUCCCAAAGUGCUGGGAUUACAGGCAUGAGCCACCACACCUGGCACAACUUUAUCUUCUUAGAAUCCCCUUCAUCUUUUUUCUUGGGCAGGUUGGUGACCGCAGCAGGACAUAAGUGCUAGAAUCAGAGAUGUAGCAGCCUGCGAGCUUUGGUCAAUUCCAGGGUCAUUCUUGCCUCUUUUUCACACUACUAUAACUUUUUGAUUAGAAACAAUUUUCAUCAAGUCUAGAAAUGUUCAAGUCUAUUUUUGAGAUUCGAAUCCUAAAUAGCAAUGUUUCCUAUCAGAUUGGCCCCCAAUUCUAUUUAUUCUUCUGAAAAUUUAAAUUUCAUUGAAUUCAGGAUCUGCACUCUUAAUACCCAACUAGAGAUUAUACUUCUAGACUAGCAGUUCCAACACUUACUAAAACCAUUAGCAUGUGUGCUAUUGUUUGGUAAUUUUUUAUCUUCCUUACUAGGGCUUUACCGAAGAGCUUUUUUGAUUAUCUCUGCAUCCCUAGCAUUUGGCAGAUAGUAGGCAAUGUGUGUGCAUGUGUAUUUGUGUUUGUGUUUGUGUUUGUGUUUGUGUUUGUGUUUGUGUGUGUGUGUGUAUGUGUGUAGUGAAUAGAAAUAUAGAAUGAUAUAUAUGCAUGCAUCUAUGUAUAUAUAUGAUAUACAUAUGUUGAAUGGAUAAAAGUACCAUAAAAAGCAUAUCUCAUAUAUAUGACACUUUCAGAAAGUCUUUUUAAAAAAUACUCAAACUGGCUGGUCACAGUGGCUCACACCUGUAAUCCCAGCACUUUGGGAGACUGAGGUGGGCAGGUCACAUUAGGUCAGGAGUUACAGCCUGGCCAACAUGGUGAAAACCCAUCUCUACUAAAAAUACAAGAAGUUAGUCAGGCAUGGUUGUGCAUGCCAGUAAUCCCAGAUACUGGGGAGGCUGAGGCAGGAGAAUCACUUGAACCUGGAAGGCAGAGGUUGCAGUGAACCAAGAUCAUGCCACUGCAUUCCAUCCUGGGGGAUAGAGCAAGACUUUGUCUCCAAAACAACAAAAACAAACAACCUUCAAAUUUACUUUGUCAUUGCUACCUUCUUAUAUAGGACAUGCCUUUCUUAAGUAGAUCACUGGAUAAGACAGAUUAUAGUGCCAACAUAGGAAUAGUAAGGAAAAUAUCACCAGUUGCAAAUUAAAUUUCAUGCAGGCUUGUUUGCUUUCAAAACAAUACACAACAAAUCUCCAUUUAGAAAUACAUUGUGACCUAGUACACACAUACAUAUAAAUUGAAACAAAAGUUAUACAAGACAGUAUUUAUUUGUAUAUUUACAUUAUCUACUGUAUCCUGAUCUUUUAAUUUUGUCUUUAUUUUUAGUGCUAAUCAUGACCCACUAACUUUAUUUAAAAACUGCCAUUUAAAAUAAUGGUUCCUUUUGUGCAUUAAGUAUUUACAUUUCUUCAAAAGAGGGAGCAUUAUGGUUAAAAUUGUAGAAGUGUUUAAAAUUCAUGAAUACUCAGAAGCAAAAUGUAAAUGAUAAGAAUUUAAUUAUUUCAUUUACCAAAAUCAUCAUAUAUGUAUCUCUAUGUGUAUAUAUACGUGUGUGUGUAACUUCGUAGGUUAUAAGUUUGGGUUUUUGAAGAAGCUAGCUUUUUGUAGGUGGUACUUUUACUUUUACACUCAACCAAGCACAAGACCUCCUCUUGAGAAGCUGCUGGUAGUGAGAAAUGGUCUUGGGUGGGGCAUGGCUUUGUAAAUUAUGUGCAAGGAGUGCUUGAAUCAGAGGUUAUGUAUAUAGUUCUGCUGUUUGAAUAAAUUCCUUUUGAAAAUAAAGCAGAAUUGCUAACUAAUCACUAAUUAUUCGUUGUGCAUAUGUGAACAAACUUUUUAAUACUACAUUUGAAGUAUUGGUUAAAGAAACAGCUUAAUUAUGUCAUUUAUGAACUAAAUAAGCUAAAAUUCUUUCCACCUAGAAGAGUCUAUGGUUUAUGACAUAAUUGAGAUUUUUCUCAAUGUAUUUAUCUAUUUAAUGUGGCAAGGCACACAUAGGAAACCUUUCACUUUGUUAUUUUCAGUGCCAAACUAAUAAUUCAUAUUAUUAAAUAUUUAU
rnacentral:lncRNA from 1 species